ensembl:lncRNA
GCCUCCCCACCCCUCUGCCCAGGGCACCAGCUGAGCUGGGCAUCCAGGAGCAGGGCCUCUGCCCUGGCCUCACAGGCUGUCCUCCCUGGGAAGAGCAUGUCCAGCCAGGGCUCAAGAGGGCCCCACAGGCAGGGGUCACCACUCGGGGCUCCUGUGGUACUCCACUCCCCUCUGGGCAAGGCUCUGACUUGUGGGGGUCUGGGGGCUCCUCAGGCUUCAUCCCUGGAUUCCUGACAUUGCUAAGAUUCCAGGCCCACCACAGGCACAUUCUCGGCAGAGCCCUCCCCAAGUUGAAGGGACAUGUGAGCAGAUGUCUGUGGGGAUUUACACACCCACGUGGUCCAUGCAGUGCUUCAUCAACCAGUCCCUGCCUGGGCCACCCCCAGGGCCACACGACAGGCCUGACUCCGUGACCCCGCCGAGGCCCCGGCAACCAGCUCCACCCAGUCUGCUGAAGACGGCGCCACUGGGCCCAGGACACCCCUCCUGCCCUGAGGCAGCUGAAGCCAGCAUCCCUCCCAUGAGUGACCAGCACCAGCACAGCCAUGAUGGAGCCAGGACAGCACCCCAAGAGCUGCGUCAAGACCCCACACAACCGCAUGACCCCCUGAGCUCUGUGUCCAUAGGGAGCCUGGACGUUCAGGGGCCUCCAGAGGAUGAGGUGACUGUGAGCACAGGGACCCCGAGGCUCCCGGGGACCCCGAGGUCCCCAGAAGCCAGCAGCAUGCCCUGCUUUUUCACGCUGAGCUUCUUGGAGGAUGGACCCUACCCCUACCCCCAUAUAGCACAAGUCCCUGACUCCAAAGGGCCUGAAUUUGGGCUCCAGGAGAGCAGAGGCUGUGUGAGCACCCCCCAGCCUGGACUGUGACUAAAGGGGCUGCCCCGGCCAGUCAGGAACGCUGGCUCAAGGCAAGGCGAGCCCUCUCGGAGCUGUAUGUGGUCUCCUACAGCCUGAGCAUGCCCCACAAGGUCCCUUUGGUGACCUGAGGAGCCUCUGGGAGCAACAGGCCACCUCCACCCUCACACGCAUAAGGAGGCGGGGCUAGAGCAGAGGGUGCCGCUGUUUGGGCAGACGCAACACACUGUGUCCAAGUCAGUGACUGCCUUUUGGGGCCCCUAAAUCUCAGCAAAUACAGCCCCACCUGGGGUCCAACGGGGUUCCCUGCCCCCCCAGCCAUUCGCUAUGAAGGUCUCCCUCCAGGGGACGGGCAGACUUUGGUUUCAGUUUCCCCCCUUGCUGGUUAAAGGUUAAUACAUUUUCGUGCAUUAAGUACUAGACUGGCUGGUUCUUGUGGCACCCAGACGUCUCCGAAGGAUGCUCUCAGGGCCCCCAGAGGCAAAGGGGGCACCAGCUGGACAAAACUGAGGUUCCCAGCUGCCUUGUGGGAGGCUACAGGCACUGCAGACUCUGAGCUUCAGCCAAACCCCAGG